AUCUAUAAUGUCCAGCCAGAAUAAAUAUAAUGCAUGUUUAUAUGUAUGGGGAAAAAAUCCUGUAAAAACUCAUUGUCUUGCUUUCCAUUUCAGAGUUGAGCUGAUGGAUUACUUGGACAGCAUUGAUUACAUGUUGGAUGACUUCAGCGCUUCUGAGCAUCAAUUCAGCAUAGACCGAGAUCUGCUGGUAUAUGUAUGAAAACGACAAAACCAAGAUCCAACAUGCAGCACUCAACAUCCCCUCCUAGCCCGACUUCUGCCCAUACUGGAAAUUUAUCGUUACUGCUGUACAAAAUAUUUUUUCAGAUCAUCAGCUUGUGCAAUACACCACAUUUUCAACAGACACACCACCAGACAAACCACUUGAAGAACAGCUUCUGGAAUCCAACUUGGACUCUCAACCACCACAAAGCAAAUUAAUGCGUCUUGAAGUGUCUGAAGCAGAGGCCAGUGAGGCUACCCUUUUCUGUUUAUGUGAACUGGCACCAGCCCCUCUGAACAAUGAUAUGCCACUGCUGGAUUAAAUGGCAGAUUUAUCAUG